GACUAGAGAUAACACCGCUCUUGUAAAGCGGGGGUCGUCGGUUCGAAUCCGACAGGGGGCUCCA
rnacentral:tRNA from 1 species